rnacentral:rRNA from 1 species
CCUACGGGAGGCAGCAGUGAGGAAUAUUGGUCAAUGGACGCAAGUCUGAACCAGCCAUGCCGCGUGCAGGAAGACGGCUCUAUGAGUUGUAAACUGCUUUUGUACGAGCGUAAACGCAGAUACGCGUAUCUGUCUGAAAGUAUCGUACGAAUAAGGAUCGGCUAACUCCGUGCCAGCAGCCGCGGUAAUACGGAGGAUUCAAGCGUUAUCCGGAUUUAUUGGGUUUAAAGGGUGCGUAGGUGGUUGGAUAAGUUAGUGGUGAAAUCCCGAGGCUCAACCUCAGAAUUGCAUUUGAUACUGUCAGGCUAGAGUGUAGUUGCGGUAGGCGGAAUGUAUGGUGUAGCGGUGAAAUGCUUAGAGAUCAUGCAGAACACCGAUUGCGAAGGCAGCUUACCAAGCUACUUCUGACGUUGAGGCACGAAAGCGUGGGGAGCAAACAGGAUUAGAUACCCCUGUAGUC